AGAAAAAAAGUACACGAACACCAUGGCCACUGGGCCAGUGGCAUCACUGUGUGUGGUUCUGAAGGAGCCUAGCGGCUUCUCGUGUGAAAGCUGAGCUCCGAUCCUCAUUCUUGUUCAGUGUAGUGGAGCGCGGGGAUUGGUUUAUAGGAUCCAGUCCCACUUGGGGAAAUGUCACUGCAGUCUGAGAGUAGAUGUAAAAUGGGGAUGAUUACUCGCUCACAGGCUUGCUGUAGAACAGAGUCCCCAUCCUCACAGAAUUCAGGAUGGCCACGCGCAAACCUAGAAUGAAAAGUCAGCCACACCCCACGUGGCCAAGAACUAGAAACUGCCCUUUGCAAGGAGCGGAGGCAACAGAACUGGGGGUCCCGGAGGGCGCAGAGGAAAGCUGUCCUUGCGGUUAAGAGUUUAAGGUGCUCACAUGGUAUCAGGUUGGUUUAGCAAAACUGGCAUCAGAAAGUAGUGGCAUAACACUCGGGCCCUGCAGUCACGUGGCAACACUGAGACCGUGGGACCCGUGGACGUGCGUUUUCCAACGACGUGGGAACCCCCAACCGCCACCCCCGCCUCUGGGUGCCGGUUACAGACGACCACGUGGCGGGGCUGAGGGCUCCGACCUGCGGUGGCGGGGUAGGGGACAGGACCUCCUCCAGAAAGUCUCCCCCAGCCCGGGCAGCAUCAGGCUGUGCGACCAGCGCCCGGUGAUGGCGUCACCCGGUGACGUCACCUAGAGGGGCCGCUCGCCCGCUCGGAGGCGAGGAGGUGCAGGCUGGGCGGCCACGCGCCUCCCUGCAGCCCCUGCAGCGCGGCGGGAGCUGAAGCUGCAGGUCCGACCUGCUGACGCGGGGCCUGGACAGUGCGGGGCCCCGGCGCUGGCGGCGAGCGCGGGGCCCUGAAUCCCGGGAGCCGCCCGGACCCAGGGGCCUUCCCAGCUAGACCGCUCCCCCCACCAAACCCGGGUCUGACCCUCAUCCUCCCCGCCAGACCCCAGGGGCCCAACCUCCCAAACGGUGACCUUUGAUUCUGUGCCUGCCCUCACCCUAAUAUUUCAGUCUCCGAGCCUGACACCUCCCUGAACCCCCUCACCUUUGAAUCUAAUCUUUUAACAGGAGCCAUUGCCAACCACAUCUGGCCCAGCACCACUCUCCACUCUCCAGUCCCCUUUCCCGCAGCCUUCCUCCAUGGAAGCUGCCUUUGCUUCCCGUGAACGCAAAUGAAAUAGGAUUAAUCAAAGAAUAUCUCCACCAAAGACCUUGAACUAAAGAAGAAAUAAAGUAACUAAUAUAUAUGAGAAACGUUCACUUCAAAGGUUGAUAGUUUGCUUUCUGAGUGUCGAUUGAAAGGAGCUCUACAAGCCAGUAAAAGGCGAUAUAUUUACCAAAGAAAAAAAAUAAGGCUGAAUUUUCUGCAACCAUUUCUCUUAAUUGCUGUUCCAUAUAUGCCACAGCAUAAAAAGAGAUUUUCAUUUACUCAAAGCGAAGUUUGACCAGAAAUAAUUAGCAAAUUGUUAGAAAAUAAUAACUAUAAGAAAAUUGAUAU